UAUAUAGGACUGGGAUACACCGAGAAAAUAUGCAUUAUUGAAACCUGGAUAUGUAUUUGUGCCAGCGUACAGUAUCGCCAGUUUUCCUGUCUUCUGACUUGAGAUAUACCUAAGCAAUGUAGUUUAUUUUUGAGACUGCAUUUGCUAAUCCCAACGAAAGCAUAAGAAGCUAAGUCAUGCAACUAUGAAGUGGCUCUCAAUCUCGUGGAUGACAUGAACAGCCUGUUCCAAAUUCAGCCUCAUCCCACCUUUUAGCAAGCCAGAGAUCAGUAGUCUCCCUAGUUUUUUAUUUGACGCUGUUAACUGUUUGGUCGUUGACAGCCGAUCUGCAUUCCAUUAAGAACAAAAAGCCCAGUGGGCACUUACAACUACAUAAGCGCUUGGCUGUACCGCUGUAGCCUGGUGAGUCCCUUUUAUACUAUUACAUAAAAGUAGAGAUAAUAGUAAGAUCAUAGUCCUAAUUAAUAUUUUAUGAUAAACAAUUAGCUUACGGAUUUAUUUAUUAAUGGAAUUUGGUUUGAAAAAAUUAAGCUGUUAGUGUGAGUGUAUGUGACUAGUGUGAGUGAUGUUGCGAUAUCUGUGCUUGGAAAUGGUUAGUUUAUUUCCGUGUGUGCAUGUGACUUGGAUGUCAAUAUCGAUCAACGGCGGCAAGAUCAUGACUAGGCUUAGGGAGAAGAUAAUGUCUAGAUGAUCGAUGAUGAUAGUUGAUGAUAUUGAAUAUAAGGUGACACAUGGUGGAGGAACACCGUAUAGAGAUGGAUUUGUAACGGGCUUCAUAUAUUAUGUUUGCAAGCGUCUGAAAAAAUUAUGAGGAAAAUUGGAGAUGGAUCGAUGAAGAAAUAAAAAAACAAAAACGUGCUACAGUACACGUGCUACAGAUAUUAGAUUGAUGUAUUAAGAAUUGAUAUAUUUUGAUCCUAAGACAUAUGUGUUGCAAG
rnacentral:lncRNA from 1 species